AUGGAUGAUGAUGAAUCUUCCGAUGGGUCGUUUUCAACGCGCUUUUCAGCUAGCCGUUUGCGUGAGGUUGCAGAGAAGGAGCUGAAUGCUAACAAGAGGGCAGUGCUAGAGAAGUCGAGUUUUGGUUCGUUGUUGAAGAUCAGACCAUUUUCUGUACCUCUUGAGCUGAUUGACUGGGUAGUUAUGAGAAUUGACACUAAGCAUUCUUUGUUCAGGUACCUUCAAAUCACCCUCUGGCCCAUUUCAUUUUGUUUGUGUCUCUGUUGCAAUGUUCUUUAUUUGGAAUUGCAUAGCAAUGUUCUUCGUCCUCAAAUUUGA
rnacentral:rRNA from 1 species